rnacentral:rRNA from 1 species
UACGGAGGGUGCAAGCGUUAUCCGGAUUUAUUGGGUUUAAAGGGUUCGUAGGCGGAUCUGUAAGUCAGUGGUGAAAUCUCACAGCUUAACUGUGAAACUGCCAUUGAUACUGCAGGUCUUGAGUGUUAUUGAAGUAGCUGGAAUAAGUAGUGUAGCGGUGAAAUGCAUAGAUAUUACUUAGAACACCAAUUGCGAAGGCAGGUUACUAAGCAACAACUGACGCUGAUGGACGAAAGCGUGGGGAGCGAACAGG